rnacentral:rRNA from 1 species
UACAGAGGGGGCAAGCGUUGUCCGGAUUUAUUGGGCGUAAAGAGCGUGUAGGCGGUUUGGUAGGUCCGCUGUGAAAACUCGAGGCUCAACCUCGAGACGCCGGUGGAAACCAUCAGGCUAGAGUCCGGAAGAGGAGAGUGGAAUUCCUGGUGUAGCGGUGAAAUGCGCAGAUAUCAGGAAGAACACCCGUGGCUAAGGCGGCUCUCUAGUACGGUACUGACGCUGAGACGCGAAAGCGUGGGGAGCGAACAGG